UUAAGUUCAGCGGGUAUUCCUACCUGAUCCGAGGUCAACCUUAGAAAAAAAGAUUGUACGGCUGAGGGCACCGGUGCUCCUGACGUUCAGAAAUCUAACACGCCGGGGGUCGGUUUCCUCGCCGAUGCAUUUCGGGCGGCCUUUAACGAAAAAGGCCGCGCGCCCAAUACCAAGCGUGGCUUGAUUGGUGAAAUGACGCU
rnacentral:misc_RNA from 1 species